UGCGUAGGCGGGUCUUUAAGUCAGGGGUGAAAUCCUGGAGCUCAACUCCAGAACUGCCUUUGAUACUGAAGAUCUUGAGUUCGGGAGGAGGUGAGUGGAACUGCGAGUGUAGAGGUGAAAUUCGUAGAUAUUCGCAAGAACACCAGUGGCGAAGGCGGCUCACUGGCCCGAUACUGACGCUGAGGCACGAAAGCUGGGGAGCAAACA
rnacentral:rRNA from 1 species